AUUUUGAUAUAACAAUGAAGUAGACUGAUAUUAGAGAUUUGUAUACCAACCUCAAGUCAAAGAGGACAUUUGGUCAUUUGAAAGUGAAGUGAUUAGARAGAGUACAUCUGGACUUGUUUGGUCCUAUAUACUGUAGCAGAGCGGCGAUGAGUGGGUUUUUAGUGCAGCAGAAAGACCUGUUGCUCAGCAGUGGAGUCUGUCUGGUCUUUCUGAGGAAGCUCUGUGGUUGAGGUGGCUGCUGCUGAGUGGAGCGGUGCUAUACAGAUACGCUCUUCCCCAUCACUUUCAUUGGGCUUCACUUUACUGAACACUACGUCUCAGUGGCAGAAUACAGCCUAGAACUUCAACUUGAGCAUAUAGAUAGAUUUUUACUGUAAUGAUACAUGAUUUGAGCUUCCUAUUCAAUUUUAAUUUGUUUACUACGUAGUUGGAGAUUCAGGAGUAAAGUUUACAGUUUGGCAUAUCAUAUUUUGAUAUUUAUUUUUGUUUUAAUUCAUUUAGAAUUUGAGCCUGAAUGUAUUUGUUCAGCCUAUUUGCUUGAUGUGAAAGGUUGACAUUUGUAUGCCUUUUAAAGAACCUUAUCUGGUGACUUGACUGAAGACAUCAUCUCCAAGAGGGCUAGCCGCAGAGAUUUCUCAUUUCUCUUUUAUUAGGGCCUUCUACUUCCCUUCCAUUAGACUGAGYCUACAAAACCCUCUGUGCUCCUGCUGCUUCUCGCUUCCCCACCAUGCCUCGYUCUUUCCUGGUGAGGAGGGGGGGCUCUCACMCUCUGCGCCCCAAAGCAGGUAGCCCCUGCUUGGGCACRACCCYGGUGCCAGURGGUCCCUCAGAAACAG